UCCGAAUAGGGCGGUACCUUGACGGUACCUAACCAGGAAGCCACGGCUAACUACGUGCCAGCAGCCGCGGUAAUACGUAGGUGGCAAGCGUUGUCCGGAAUUAUUGGGCGUAAAGCGCGCGCAGGCGGUUUCUUAAGUCUGAUGUGAAAGCCCCCGGCUCAACCGGGGAGGGUCAUUGGAAACUGGGGAACUUGAGUGCAGAAGAGGAGAGUGGAAUUCCACGUGUAGCGGUGAAAUGCGUAGAGAUGUGGAGGAACACCAGUGGCGAAGGCGACUCUCUGGUCUGUAACUGACGCUGAGGCGCGAAAGCGUGGGGAGCGAACAGGAUUAGAUACCCUGGUAGUCCACGCCGUAAACGAUGAGUGCUAAGUGUUAGAGGGUUUCCGCCCUUUAGUGCUGCAGCAAACGCAUUAAGCACUCCGCCUGGGGAGUACGGUCGCAAGACUGAAACUCAAAGGAAUUGACGGGGGCCCGCACAAGCGGUGGAGCAUGUGGUUUAAUUCUUAUCAACGCCGAAAAACCUUACCAGGUCUUGACCUCCUCUGACAACCCUAGAGAUAGGGCUUCCCCUUCGGGGGCAGAGUGACAGGUGGUGCAUGGUUGUCGUCAGCUCGUGUCGUGAGAUGUUGGGUUAAGUCCCGCAACGAGCGCAACCCUUGAUCUUAGUUGCCAGCAUUCAGUUGGGCACUCUAAGGUGACUGCCGGUGACAAACCGGAGGAAGGUGGGGAUGACGUCAAAUCAUCAUGCCCCUUAUGACCUGGGCUACACACGUGCUACAAUGGGCAGAACAAAGGGCAGCGA
rnacentral:rRNA from 1 species